UUUAAGUGUGUAUUUAUGUCUUGUAUUGCUGGUAAGUAACUUUCUUGCACUGAGGUCUGUUUGUUGCAAAUAUCUUUGAUCUGUUUUUUUGUCUUAUAAUGUUUAUGUGUGUAUUUAUGUCUUGUAAUGUUUAUGUGUGUAUUUAUGUCUUAUAAUGUUUAUGUGUGUAUUUAUGUCUUGUAAUGUUUAUGUGUUUAAUUAUGUCUUGUAUUGCUGGUGAGUAACUUCCUUACACUGAGGUCUGGUUAUUGCAAAUAUCUUUGACUUGUUUUUAUGUCUUAUAAUGUUUAUGUGUGUAUUUAUGUCUUGUAUUGCUGGUAAGUAACUUUCUUGCACUGAGGUCUGUUUAUUGCAAAUAUCUUUGACUUGUUUUUAUGUCUUAUAAUGUUUAUGUGUGUAUUUAUGUCUUGUAUUGCUGGUAAGUAACUUUCUUGCACUGAGGUCUGUUUAUUGCAAAUAUCUUUGACUUGUUUUUAUGUCUUAUAAUGUUUAUGUGUGUAUUUAUGUCUUAUAAUGUUUAUGUGUGUAUUUAUGUCUUAUAAUGUUUAUGUGUGUAUUUAUGUCUUGUAUUGCUGGUAAGUAACUUUCUUGCACUGAGGUCUGUUUAUUGCAAAUAUCUUUGACUUGUUUUUAUGUCUUAUAAUGUUUAUGUGUGUAUUUAUGUCUUGUAUUGCUGGUAAGUAACUUUCUUGCACUGAGGUCUGAUUAUUGCAAAUAUCUUUGACUUGUUUUUAUGUCUUAUAAUGUUUAUGUGUGUAUUUAUGUCUUGUAUUGCUGGUAAGUAACUUUCUUGCACUGAGGUCUGAUUAUUGCAAAUAUCUUUGACUUGUUUUUAUGUCUUAUAAUGUUUAUGUGUGUAUUUAUGUCUUGUAUUGCUGGUAAGUAACUUUCUUACACUGAGGUCUGUUUAUUGCAAAUAUCUUUGAUCUGUUUUUUUGUCUUGUAAUGUUUAUGUGUGUAUUUAUGUCUUGUAUUGCUGGUAAGUAACUUUCUUGCACUGAGGUCUGUUUAUUGCAAAUAUCUUUGACUUGUUUUUAUGUCUUAUAAUGUUUAUGUGUGUAUGUAUGUCUUAUAAUGUUUAUGUGUGUAUUUAUGUCUUGUAUUGCUGGUAAGUAACUUUCUUGCACUGAGGUCUGAUUAUUGCAAAUAUCUUUGACUUGUUUUUAUGUCUUAUAAUGUUUAUGUGUGUAUUUAUGUCUUGUAUUGCUGGUAAGUAACUUUCUUGCACUGAGGUCUGAUUAUUGCAAAUAUCUUUGACUUGUUUUUAUGUCUUAUAAUGUUUAUGUGUGUAUUUAUGUCUUGUAUUUCUGGUAAGUAACUUUCUUGCACUGAGGUCUGAUUAUUGCAAAUAUCUUUGACUUGUUUUUAUGUCUUAUAAUGUUUAUGUGUGUAUUUAUGUCUUAUAUUGCUGUUAAAUGUGUAUUUAUGUCUUGUAUUGCUGGUAAGUAACUUUCUUGCACUGAGGUCUGUUUGUUGCAAAUAUCUUU
ensembl:lncRNA